GUUAUAGGGUCAAGCGAACAAGUGCAUGUGGUGGAUGCCUUGGCGAUCACAGGCGAUGAAGGACGCGGUAGCCUGCGAAAAGCUACGGGGAGCUGGCAAACGAGCUUUGAUCCGUAGAUGUCCGAAUGGGGAAACCCACUCCUUUUGGAGUAUCCAUGGCUGAAUACAUAGGCCAUGAGAAGCGAACGCGGUGAACUGAAACAUCUAAGUAACCGCAGGAAAAGAAAUCAACCGAGAUUCCCAAAGUAGUGGCGAGCGAAAUGGGAUGAGCCUUGCACUCUUUAUUUGUAUUGUUAGCCGAACGCUCUGGAAAGUGCGGCCAUAGCAGGUGAUAGC
rnacentral:rRNA from 1 species